rnacentral:lncRNA from 1 species
AUUUAACAAAACGUCUCUCACCAGAGUGGCUUCUGGAUGCGGAUCAUCUGCUCACGUUCCUGUUAAACUAUUCAUACGCCUGUUCCUCCCUGACUGUAGUUUCCUCCCAGCAUGUCAAGGAUUGACUUGUAAAUCUCUAUGAUAACUUUAGCGCAUCAGCAUCAACAGGCUGCCCUGUGGCAAACCGUAAUUACAGUGAUCCCACGGAGGAGGACGUCCCACUAUAACCAACUUGAAGGGAACACAGCGAUCCUAUGCCCAGCGGCUGCAGUAUCUUGGAGAAAAUGCAUCGCUGAAGUGCUCUUCACAGGUAUCCACGGCUGGAGGCGUUGACUGGAUGGUCGAGGUGAGACUCCUCCUCCGAGCUGGAAACAGAUCACUUCAUCGAUAAAGCCCCCAGAGCCGACCUCUGGUGACCCCAGCAUGAGCCACACCGGAGGCUGGUAAGGAGCUGCACAGACUCUCCUCUCGCGUUCCUAAAUGAAGGUUUGUAUUUUAUUUCAAAUAAAGUCCGGCCGGAGAACA